AGAGUUUGAUCCUGGCUCAGAUUGAACGCUGGCGGCAGGCCUAACACAUGCAAGUCGAGCGGUAGAGAGAAGCUUGCUUCUCUUGAGAGCGGCGGACGGGUGAGUAAUGCCUAGGAAUCUGCCUGGUAGUGGGGGAUAACGUUCGGAAACGGACGCUAAUACCGCAUACGUCCUACGGGAGAAAGCAGGGGACCUUCGGGCCUUGCGCUAUCAGAUGAGCCUAGGUCGGAUUAGCUAGUUGGUGGGGUAAUGGCUCACCAAGGCGACGAUCCGUAACUGGUCUGAGAGGAUGAUCAGUCACACUGGAACUGAGACACGGUCCAGACUCCUACGGGAGGCAGCAGUGGGGAAUAUUGGACAAUGGGCGAAAGCCUGAUCCAGCCAUGCCGCGUGUGUGAAGAAGGUCUUCGGAUUGUAAAGCACUUUAAGUUGGGAGGAAGGGUUGUAGAUUAAUACUCUGCAAUUUUGACGUUACCGACAGAAUAAGCACCGGCUAACUCUGUGCCAGCAGCCGCGGUAAUACAGAGGGUGCAAGCGUUAAUCGGAAUUACUGGGCGUAAAGCGCGCGUAGGUGGUUAGUUAAGUUGGAUGUGAAAUCCCCGGGCUCAACCUGGGAACUGCAUUCAAAACUGACUGACUAGAGUAUGGUAGAGGGUGGUGGAAUUUCCUGUGUAGCGGUGAAAUGCGUAGAUAUAGGAAGGAACACCAGUAGCGAAGGCGACCACCUGGACUGAUACUGACACUGAGGUGCGAAAGCGUGGGGAGCAAACAGGAUUAGAUACCCUGGUAGUCCACGCCGUAAACGAUGUCAACUAGCCGUUGGGAGCCUUGAGCUCUUAGUGGCGCAGCUAACGCAUUAAGUUGACCGCCUGGGGAGUACGGCGCAAGGUUAAACUCAAAGGAAUUGACGGG
rnacentral:rRNA from 1 species